rnacentral:sRNA from 1 species
AGCAGCCGCGGUAAUUCCAGCUCCAAUAGCGUAUAUUUAAGUUGUUGCAGUUAAAAAGCUCGUAGUUGAAUUUCGGGACUAACAGAUUGGUCGCGCCUUUGGUGUGUACUGGUCUAGUUGGUUUCUCCCUUCUGAUGAACCACGACGUCAUUAAUUUGGUGUCGCGGGGAAUCAGGACUGUUACUUUGAAAAAUUAGAGUGUUUAAAGCAGGCAUUAGCUUGAAUACAUUAGCAUGGAAUAAUGAAAUAGGACGUUUGAUCUUAUUUUGUUGGUUUUCUAGGAUCGACGUAAUGAUUAAUAGGGAUAGUUGGGGGCAUUAGUAUUCAAUUGUCAGAGGUGAAA